CUUUUCUGAUGAUCUUAUACACAGACCUGUACUGAGCUCAAAUACCGUGCAGAAAAUUGUAAACUGAAA
rnacentral:snoRNA from 1 species